ensembl:lncRNA
GUACUAAUGACUGGAUACAAGUACCCACAUGCAGUAAAGGUACUAAUGACUGGAUACAAGUACAGGUACCUACAUGCAGUAAAGGUACUAAUGGCUGGAUACAAGUACCUACAUGCAGUGAAUGUACUAAUGAUUGAAUACAAGUACAGGUACCUACAUGCAGUAAAGGUACUAAUGACUGGAUACAAGUACCCACAUGCUGUAAAGGUACUAAUGACUGAAUACAAGUACCUACAUACAUUAAAGGUACUAAUGACUGGAUACAAGUACAGGUACCUACAUGCAGUAAAGGUACUAAUGGCUGAAUACAAGUACCUACAUGCAGUGAAUGUACUAAUGAUUGAAUACAAGUACAGGUACCUACAUGCAGUAAAGGUACUAAUGGCUGAAUACAAGUACCCACAUGCUGUAAAGGUACUAAUGACUGAAUACAAGUACCUACAUACAUUAAAGGUACUAAUGACUGGAUACAAGUACCUACAUGCAGUAAAG